CGGAGUUCAGUCUUCCCAGGCCCACCACGCUUCGCCGUCGGCUUCGCAUGGCACCGCCAGGCAGAACGACGAGGCGAAGCGCGUCCGGCAUAGCCCGAAGGGCGACGCCGGACAGAAAGAGCGCUUCGUCUUCUGGUUACGGGGCCAUAGCUCAGCUGGGAGAGCGCGUGCUUUGCAAGCAUGAGGUCGUCGGUUCGAUCCCGUCUGGCUCCACCAGAUGGUUUGAUCACCGAGAUCUUGACCGUCGUCCGCGAAACAUCACUUCGCAUCCUGCUAGUCUGGAUAGACAGCAAGUUGCGUGUUUUCUGACAUCGUAAAGAGGAGAUCGAUCCGAGUUGGAUCGUGCAACAUAUCGUUGCGCGAGCCUUCAUUAUCUCCGGAUCAUUUCGGCGCUCGCUUCCAGCCGUGAGGUUGGAUGCGGGUUGUAAAUGAUCCUUUUAGCGAAGCUUGACCGCCUCGCUAUCGGAACGAUCUUACGAAGCAAGCUGGUCUUUCUAGUCAAUGUCCGGCUGUACGUAGCAUUCAUCGAGGGUGCGCGCCCGAGAUUUCGGUCUCUUGGCAAUCGUACAGACAACAUUCUGCCGAGUGUGUGGACAUUGAUAAUGAGAGCAAUCAAGUGCCUUAAGGGUGUUCGGUGGAUGCCUUGGCGCUGAGAGGCGAUGAAGGACGUGCUACGCUGCGAUAAGCCGUGGGGAGCUGCGAAGAAGCUUUGAUCCGCGGAUUUCCGAUGG
rnacentral:misc_RNA from 1 species